rnacentral:rRNA from 1 species
UACGUAGGUGACUAGCGUUGUCCGGAUUUACUGGGCGUAAAGAGCGCGCAGGCGGUCGUUCAAGUCGAGUGUGAAAGCCCCCGGCUCAACUGGGGAGGGUCAUUCGAUACUGAUCGACUCGAAGGCAGGAGAGGGGUGUGGAAUUCCCGGUGUAGUGGUGGAAUGCGUAGAUAUCGGGAGGAACACCAGAGGCGAAAGCGACACCCUGGCAUUUGCCUGACGCUGAGAUGCGAAAGCGUGGGGAGCAAACGGGG